AGAGUUUGAUUGGCUCAGGACGAGUAUUGCGCGCGACGUAAUCGACUACGCCAUGAACGGCAUUGCUCAAGCUUGCUUGGGUGGAUCAGUGGCGACAGGAUUAGUAACACGUGAGCAACCUGCCCCGGACUCUGGAAUAAGCCGAAUAAACGUUAUGUAAUACUGGAUAGGACAUAGGUCCGCAUGGGUAUGGUCAGGAAAGUUUUUCGGUCUGGGAUGGGCUCGCGGCCUAUCAGCUUGUUGGUGAGGUAAUGGCUCACCAAGGCGACGACGGGUAGCCGGCCUGAGAGGGCGACCGGCCACACUGGGACUGAGACACGACGGACCGAAUUUACGCAUUUACCGAUGGGGAAUAUUGCACAAUGGGCGAAAGCCUGAUGCAGCGACGCUAGCUUAGCAUUGACGGCCUUCGGGUUGUAAACCUCUUUCAGCAGGGAAGAAGCGAAAGUGACGGUACCUGCAGAAGAAGCACCGGCUAACUACGUGCCAGCAGCCGCGCCCAUGGGUAGGGUGCGUACGGCGGCCGGAAUUAUUGGGCUAUUACAGCUUGUAGGCGGUUUGUCGCGUCUGCUGUGAAAAUCCGGGGCUCAACCCCGGACUUGCAGUGGGUACGGGCAGACUAGAGUGUGGUAGGGGAGACUGGAAUUCCUGGUGUAGCGGUGAAAUGCGCAGAUAUCAGGAGGAACACCGAUGGCGAAGGCAGGUCUCUGGGCCACUACUGACGCUGAGAAGCGAAAGCAUGGGGAGCGAACAGGAUUAGAUACCCUGGUGAUACGCGAGGCAUUUAGCGAUCUUUACUACGGGAUACAAUUUUCAAAUCAUGGGACUAUCCCAGUUAGUUUAAGCGCCCCGCCUGGGGAGUACGGCCGCAAGGCUAAAACUCAAAGGAAUUGACGGGGGUUUCCACAAGCGGCGGAGCAUGCGUUACGAUUCGAUUUUAUGGCAUGAACCUGGUACAAGGCUUGACAUAUACCGGAAACAUCCAGAGAUGGGUGCCCCUUUUAGGUCGGUAUACAGGUGGUGCAUGGUUGUCGUCUUAUGCUGUCGUGAGAUGUUAAACUAAGUCCCGCAACGAGCGCAACCCUCGUUCUAUGUUGCCAGCACGUGAUGGUGGGGACUCAUGGAAGACUGCCGGGGUCAACUCGGAGGAAGGUGGGGAUGACGUCAAAUCAUCAUGCCCCUUAUGUCUUGGGCUUCACGCAUGCUACAAUGGCCGGUACAAAGGGCUGCGAAACCGUAAGGUGGAGCGAAUCCCAAAAAACCGGUCUCAGUUGGAAUUCGGGUCUGCAACUCGACCCCACCCAGUCGGAGUCGCUAGUAAUCGCAGAUCAGCAACGCUGCGGUGAAUACGUUCCCGGGCCUUGUACACACCGCCCGUCAAGUCACGAAAGUCGGUAACACCCGAAGCCGGUGGCCCAACCCUUGUGGGGGGAGCCGUCGAAGGUGGGACUGGCGAUUGGGACUAAGUCGUAACAAGGUACCCG
rnacentral:rRNA from 1 species